CUUUUUCUUUUGUUUUUUUUUUUUUUUCUUUUCAUUUUUUUCCUUUUUUUUUAAUAAUUAUAAACUUAUUUUUGUACGAAAUCAAAUUUAAUACAGUAGACUAGGUGAGAGAAAAAUACAUUUCUUAUUAUUGCUUUAAUAAUUUAAAUAUAAAAAUACACAAGAAAAAAUAUAUUAUGUAUAUAUGCAAAAUGUGUUUAUUUCUAGAAGAAAAAUACAAAUUUCGUUUAAAAAAAAAAAAAAUAAAAGAGAAAAAAAAAAGAACAAAUAAACUUAUGCAUUCUACAUGAAUGAAGCAUAUAUUUUGUAAUAUGUUGUACAUGCAUAUGUAGAAUUUCUCACAGGCUUAUAUAUUUAUUUUUUGUGAAAAAAAAAAAAAAAAUAUAUAUUUCUAAACCGUUUAAUAUGUGAUAAAAUAGUUCACCAAUAUUUUCCGAAAGUUAUAAUAUUACCAAGUACUAAGAACUUUAUCUUUUUUUAUCUUUUUUAUCUUUUUUUAUCUUUUUUUAUCUUAUUUAUCUUUUUUUAUCUUUUUUUAUCUUUUUUUAUCUUUUUUUUAUCUUUUUUUAUCUUUUUUUACCUUUUUUUAUCUUUUUUAUCUUUUUUUAUCCUUUUUUUUUUUCUUUUUUUUUCUUUUAUAUAUUAUUGAAUUAUGUCUAAUAUAAGAUAAUGAAUUUUUUAAAUUUUGAUAAACUUACUACACAAAAUGGGGCAAAUGGACAAAAUGAAGGGCAAAUCAACAUGUUAAUGGUAUACGUAAAUUCAAUUCUUUUAUUUUCAAUGUUUUUAUAUGGCCUAAAUUAUGUUCUGAUGAAAUAUUAUAUUAUGAUAAAUGGAUCUGUAUAUGUUUUUAUAAUUUUAAGAACCUUUCUUACUAUUCCUCUUUUAAUUUACUUAUACUUAUCAAAAAAAUCAGAACCGAAAAAAGAAAAACUAUUGAAUGAUACGAAUAAUAUAUAUGCAGAUGAAAAAAACCACAACAAAAAGUCGUUCACAUUUUUUACAAGCAAAGAAAAUGUACCAACUCGAACUGAAAAUGAUUAUAAUAAUAUAGAAAAAGAAAAAAAAAACAAUGAUGCAGUGAGUGAUAAAAAUAAAAACAGGAAUAAAAAUAAAAAUAGUGAUAAAAAUAAAAAUAGUGAUAAAAAUAAAAACUGUGAUAAAAAUAAAAACUGUAAUAAAAAUAGUUGUAACAGUUCUAGUAAAGAGAAUAAUAACGAAACACAAAAAAAAUGUAUCCAUAACACAUAUGAUAAAACAGAAAACGAAAAAUGUGAUAGUUAUUAUGUUUUACUUGAUGAUAGUUGUAAUACUGAGAGAAAUAGUAAAAAUAGUACUAAAAGUGUAAAAAAUAAAAGUAUUAAUUUUUUUAAAAGAUUAUUUGACAAUAGUGAAAAAUUAAUACCCAAAAUAGCUUAUAUUCCAAUUCUUAUAUUAUCGGUUACAGGAGCAUUCAGACAAGUGAUUGUUAUUUUUGCAUUGCAAUAUACAGAUUCUCAUAAUGUAGCUAUAAUUCAACCAACAAUACCAAUAUUUACUGCUCUAUUAUCAUGCUAUUUAAAAAUUGAAAAAUUAAAUUAUAUAACAGGAAGUUCUAUACUUUUAUCUUUUUUAGGGUUAGCUAUAACUUCUGAAAUGUGGGAUAUAAAUACCCUUGACAUAGGUUUUUAUAUAUUAUUGGCAGUACCUAUAACUAAAGGAUUACAAGUAAUAUAUAUUAAUAUUGCUACUAAAUAUGUUAAUAAUAAUAUUAUACUUUUUUGCCAAGUUAUAGUCUUAUUUUUUAUAACAUUACCAUUAGGUAUUUUAGGAGAAAUGUUCAUUCAAAAUAAUUAUAAUUUUUUUAAAGAAAUAUAUAAUAUAACAUUAAGCCAGUUUUUAUGUAUUCUUUAUUCUUCUGUUGCUAUUAUAUUUGUAUGUUGGAAAAUUCAAAUUAUUGCGUUAAAACAUUUAACACCUAUUACUGUUUCGUUAUAUCAAUCAUUCCAACCAUGUUUUACUUUUAUAUUGGCUAGCCUUUUUCUUAAUGAACAAAUAAAAUAUAAUAAAUAUAUAGGGACAGUUCUUAUUGUUAUAUCUUUGAUUAUGUAUCAGUAUGGUUGUAAAAAGUAUGGCACCGCUUAGUUACAUACAAGGAGUUUAUUUUUUCUUUUUUGACACCGCUUAAUUACUUACAAGAAGUAGCCUUUUUU
ensembl:lncRNA